rnacentral:rRNA from 1 species
GAUGAACGCUAGCGGCAGGCUUAACACAUGCAAGUCGAGGGGUAACAGAGAGAAGCUUGCUUUUCUGCUGACGACCGGCGCACGGGUGCGUAACGCGUAUAGAACCUACCUUUUACUGGAGAAUAGCCCAGAGAAAUUUGGAUUAAUGCUCCAUGGUAUUGUUGAUUGGCAUCGAUUAACAAUUAAAGAUUUAUUGGUAAAAGAUGGCUAUGCGUUCUAUUAGUUAGUUGGUAAGGUAACGGCUUACCAAGACAUCGAUAGAUAGGGGUCCUGAGAGGGAGAUCCCCCACACUGGUACUGAGACACGGACCAGACUCCUACGGGAGGCAGCAGUGAGGAAUAUUGGACAAUGGAGGCAACUCUGAUCCAGCCAUGCCGCGUGAAGGAAGACUGCCCUAUGGGUUGUAAACUUCUUUUAUAUAGGAAGAAACAGUGGUAUGUAUACCACCUUGACGGUACUAUAUGAAUAAGCACCGGCUAACUCCG